UUCCCGCAAAAAAAAUCAGUUUCCCACAAAAAAUAUCUGUAAAACCACAUUUUCCCCAUAAAAAAAAUACUAAAACCACACUUUUCCCAAAAACAACCCAUUCCCCCCAAAAAAAAAUCCCUAAAACACUCCCUCCCCCGAAAAAAACCUGAAACGGCUUUUGCCCCACAAAAGCCCCUAAAACUUCCCUUUCCCCCAAAUCCUUUUCCCAAAAUCUCGAUUUUUCCCCUAAAAUCCCAAUUUCUCCCCAAAAUCCCAAUUUUUUCCCCCUAAAAUCCCGAUCUUGCCCCCAAAAUCCCAUUUUUCCCCCCAACAAUCCCAUUUUUCCCCCAAAAUCCCAAUUUUCCCCCUAAAAUCCCAAUUUUUCCCCAAAAUCCCCGUUUUUCCCCCUAAAAUCCUGAUUUUUCCCCUAAAAUCCUGACUUUCCCCCUAAAAUCUCGAUUUUUUUCCCCAAAUCCCCGUUUUUUCCCCCAAUCCCCGUUUUCCCCCCAAUCCCCGUUUCCCCAAUCCCCGUUUUUCCCCAAAUCCCCGUUUUCCCCCAAAUCCCCAUUUCCCCCCCAAAUCCCCGUUUUCCCCAAAACCCCCAUUUUCCCCCUAAAUCCCUGUUUUGCCCAAAUUCCCAUUUUUCCCAAAUCCCCGUUUUUCCCAAAUCCCCGUUUUCCCCCCAAAUCCCCGUUUUCCCCAAAUUCCCGUUUUCCCCAAAUCCCUGUUUUCCCCAAAUCCCCGUUUCCCCAAAUCCCCGUUUUUCCCCCAUCCCCGUUUUCCCCAAAUCCCUGUUUUUCCCAAAUCCCCGUUUUUCCCCCAAAUCCCCGUUUCCCCCCCAAAUUCCCAUUUUGCCCAAAUCCCCGUUUUCCCCCCAAAUUCCCGUUUUUUCCCAAAUUCCCGUUUUUUUCCCAAAUCCCCCCUUUUCCCCCCCAAAUUCCCAUUUUCCCCCCAAAUCCCCGUUUUUCCCCAAAUCCCCAUUUUUCCCCCCAAAUCCCCGUUUUCCCCAUAUCCCCGUUUUCCCAACCCCCGUUUUUCCCACAUUCCCAUAUUCUCCCCAAUCCCCGUUUUCCCCAAACCCCCGUUUUUCCCACAUUCCCAUAUUUUCCCCGAUCCCCAUUUUCCCCAAAUCCCCGUUUUUCCCACAUUCCCAUAUUCUACCCAAUCCCCGUUUUUCCCGAAAUCCCGUUUUUUCGCCCCAUCGCGCCCCCUCACCGCUCGCGGGCCCCGCGGGGGCUCCGCCCCAGCACGGGCGUGGCGGGGACGCUCCGGCCCUCGAGGCUGGAGGCGCUGCGGGGCAGCGUCCGCGCCGGGCUGCGGAAACGGGCGAAAAAAUGGGGAUUUUGGGAAAAAAUGGGGAUUUGGGGGAAAAUCGGGGGGUCUGGGGGAAAAAUCGGGGGGUUUUGGGGGGAAAUCAAAGGGGUUUUGGGGGGAA
rnacentral:lncRNA from 1 species